UGAACAGUUCCAGAUGAUUUCAGGGAGAAAAUGAUCCACGUAGAAACAGGACUGAAUGUUUUACAGCGUAGAAAUAAAGAAAGAUUAGAGUCCAGCUAAAGCUGUCAGAUCUCCUCCCAGAGUUUCUGCUGAUCACUUCCUGGUUUACAGAGAACAAAACUACUGAAUGCAAUAAAAUGUUGACUGGAAAUGAGCUGAAAACUGAGAAGAAACCUGAAAAACACACAAGUUUCACCCUGACCUCAGAGUUUUACAGCUCAGUUCACUGUUGAUGCAAAGAGAAGAAGAACUGAAAGUAAAGGUGUUUAAACUCAGGUAAACUCACCUUGACAGGGGGCGGAGCCUCAGGUGAGUCAGUUACAGUCAGGUAUCAGAUCAGGAGAAACAGGUUCUGACUCCAUUUAGUAGCAGAACAGAACAAAGAGAAGACUCUGGAUCAGGGCUGACUGAAGUCCAGAAGAUGGAGGAUUGUGAUCUAAAGGAGGACAGAGCAGAACCUCCAGGAUCCAGCUGUCCAUCUAUGAGGAGUGACCGGUCCAGA